CGGACGGGUGAGUAAUGUCUAGGAAACUGCCUGAUGGAGGGGGAUAACUACUGGAAACGGUAGCUAAUACCGCAUAACGUCGCAAGACCAAAGAGGGGGACCUUCGGGCCUCUUGCCAUCGGAUGUGCCCAGAUGGGAUUAGCUAGUAGGUGGGGUAACGGCUCACCUAGGCGACGAUCCCUAGCUGGUCUGAGAGGAUGACCAGCCACACUGGAACUGAGACACGGUCCAG
rnacentral:rRNA from 2 species